GUGCUCACUUUGGCAGCACAUAUACUAAAAUAGAAAAGAUACAGAGAAGAUUAGCAUGGUCCCUGUGCAAGGAUGACAUGCAAAUUUGUGAAGUAUUCCAUAUUUUU
rnacentral:snRNA from 1 species